rnacentral:lncRNA from 1 species
UUUUUUUUUCUUUACCUGCACUGUAGUACCAGACCUUGGAUUUUCUUACUUCCUAAAUCAGUGUCAUAAUAGUUUAAGUCAAGCAAAGUACUGUGUAUACAUUUUAAAAGACAAUGCAUUAACCUUUAGCUUCGAUUGUCUUUUUGGUGUUCCAAUUAUACAAUUUGUGUCUAGAACAUCAUUAAUGGGAUUCCAUAUCCUUGUUCUGUCAUGAGUACACUGAAUUAUUUGUUUAUUAUAAAGUUAUGAAGUUAUGUUAUUCAAGGAUGGAUGUAUAAGUGGAAUAGUAGUACUUUGGGAUUUCUUUCAGUCGAUUCGAUUUGGCAGCCAUCUGUUCAAACAUUUUUCUUUUGUUUAGAGCACAUGAACUGCACUAGAAUAUUUUGACAUCUUUGGAAGUUAGACACAUUUGAGAAAAGUUACACAUGAUCAUGAUGGAUGAAGAAUGAAUAAUAUAUAGACAAAACAGCUGUAAGUUUCUAUUAUUGGUUAUAAAAAAAUGCAGCUCCAGAAUUUGUACUGAACUAGAUGUUCAUUUCAGUCAGUUGUUUCUGAAAGUUGGAAUUACAGGAGUGGUCAAGAGAAGUUGGCCCAACUGUGAUUCUUGGCACCGAUCCCGUCCAUGAAUCUGACGGUCAGAAUGAGUGGAUCCACGGCUCCAUGGUUUUCCUAAAUUUUAUCCAAUUAAUAUUAUUCUGAAUCAGAUGAAUAACACCAUGUUUUUUUUGGAAGUAACAUUGUGAUAUGGAAAUAGCCUAAUUAAUCCUCUUUGUUGCGUGCACCCUAUUUGCUUAACGCUAGAUCAUGAAUUUGCUUAAUUUUGCUCGAGUGGAUAUAUCUGCUGAUAACUUUUGCUACCCAUCAAUUUUUUUGAAAAAAAGACACAUAUCAAGGUUGCAGUUUGGGUGGUAAUUCGGAUGUCCCAUUUUUCUUUUGCCAUUGAAGAUCCUCCUAUACCCUGAGCAUAUGAAGAAACAAAUUUGCUUUAGUUUAAUUUAGGACAUGUUUUACCUCUUCUUUGACAAAGUUAAUUUGUUAUCAUGUGCCGUGCACCCAAGCCAUGAACAGAAACUUCCUUUCUCACAUAUAUUAUCUAUAUUUUGUCUGAAACCAUGAUUUGUCCAUGUCCUAUAGUUCAUUUGGGUAUUAGUCAAUAUAAUUUUCGUGGUGUAAAUCAUUUGAUACAUAUAACCUGAUUUCUGGAUGUGUUCUACAGGAAGAGUCCAAGGCUGCACUAUUUCAGCCUUUUUUUGCCACAUAUAGGGAGUAGUAGGCAUUAAUUCACCAAACUUAAGCGUGCUACAAUAGGACAUGGUUAUCUUACAGCUCAGGCAUAAAGGGAAAAGUAACUAUCAUGAUCAUGUUGGACACCCAACCUGAAGAUACCAAAAAACACCACAUGCACGUACACGGCAAUUACGUAAUUGCCAUUACCCAAAGCAUCAAACGACAAAUAUGUCUAGUAAUCUAGUCAUGUCUAGUCUCAAUAAGAUGACUAAAUAACAGUAAAGGAAAAGAACAGGUUACACAUGACGAAUUAUUUAAAGAGAGAGUGAAGAAACCUAACCCUAUUGAGCUCCGCUAUAGAAUCAGAAGGGAUUCCAGUAGCAAAGCAUCUCCAGCCUCUACUUCUUUCUAUUCUCAGGAGAAUGAAGCGAAAGAUGGACAUGUGUAAACAAUUGCCGCACAGUUUACACUUCUGCAAGGAAUAAGUAAACAGAAAACAGAGAAAUUUUAGCACAGAGAUACUCUCUACCUGAAGUCUUAAUAACAACUCCAAGGCUAGGCUGCCCAGAUAUGAUGAUACAGAUACCGCGAAACGGCAACUUUUUAAAAAUGCAGCGAUACAUUUUCAUAUAUAUAGAUACUAAAACAAUAUAGAUAUUAAUGAUUCUAUGCAGGAACGGGAACAUAAUUGUUUUCCAAUCCCAUGAGCCAACACACCACUCAAGCUCACCAAAUCAUGAUAACUGCACGUGCAAGCUGCCAAGCUCAUCAAAUCACAAUGACUGCAUGAGCAAGACACACCAAGACAUUAGUGAUUGCACCGGAUGUAUCCAGAUGUAUCAGCAUAUCCGGGCAGUAUCCACCUCUUAUAGACUGGUUUUCUGCCGUAUCCGUGUUUCGUAGCUCAAGGUGAAUGUGUGACGAAAACCUACUCAUUUGAGUGUAUAACAUGAUUACCCCCCACCCUACCACAGUACCACCACCACAAAUAGUUCUAGAACAUGACACAAUCCAAAUCCAUGUAGAAAUUCAGGAAAUCCUAUGUCCAUUUAAUUCUUCCCUGAGUUCCAAAUCGCCUAUGUCCAUUUGGCUUGUGGAACGGGGCUGUCCUUGCAAAUUUGGAGGCCCAAUUCAAAUUCUUAUGAAAUUGGGAUUGAUCUGCAAUCCCAACUUUUGUGUUUGGUUGCCAAAAGUUCAUAAUUUCCCCAUGGAAACACAUGGCAAUGCCAACUUACGUCUGCCUAUUCCUCAAACAAUAAUGUCUAGCUGCCCAAGGUGGAUUAUAUUCCCUAUAUGGUGAGUAACCUGAUCGUAUAUGUCAAGUUGGGUGUAUUGUAAUUUUUGUAAUUUUGUUCAUAUGGGGAGAAAAUUAACAAUAAAAUGGAGCAUUCAUAUUCCCCACCAAGCAUACCUCUCGCAAAGACCACCAUAAAAUUUCACUCAAUACGAGAUGGAAGCCUGAUAGACCAUAUAAUGCAACCAAAGAGAAUGGGGGAAGAGCCCUCCGCCUGCUGCUUCGAUGAGUACCCAACACAAGAGGCGAGAGAAGCCUACCUAUGUCCGGGGGGUGCGUCCUUGGUGCAGCUCCAGGUGGACUGGAUCCUCGACCAGCGUCGAGGAGGACUCGACGACGGGCGGCUCGUUGGGCGACGGCGGCGCAGAUCCUAUUCCUAGGGCGGCGUCGAGGAAAGGGUUCGUCCGGUCGGCGGUGCCGCGGCGGUGGGUCGGACGAAAGGCAGCAGCGGGUCAGAAGGUUGCGAUCACUACUCGGGCCAGGCGCGGGAGGCCCACGGGAAAGAUGUACCGGCCGGCCCGUGGGUGCGGUUGGUUUUGCGUAGUGAGCACGGGCCAUAAAUUGAGAGAAGUUGAUCCUCAAAAAACAAAAAACAAAAUUGAGAGAAGUUGGGAGUCACUAGAGUCGUCGCGGAUUUCCUCCGGAUUCAGGCGCGUUCACAACGAAGCAACCUGAGAACGGUUAAAGUCAAAUACCACUUUAUGAUUUUCUCAAAAUAAUCAUGAACAUUACUUUUGUUUACAAAACUAUUUAAAUGUAUGAACCGGUUUCAAAUUCAUUAACAUUUUUUUACUCACCAAACAUUUUUUGAAUCAAUGAACUUUUCUUUAAAAUUGGGAAACAAAUUAAAAAAACAAAAUAUUUAUUUUUAUUUUUGUGAACAUUUUCUAAAAUGUAUUGUACAUUUUUUUCAUAUUCCGGAAUAUGUUUUGAAUACACGAUCAUGAUUUUCGGAAUAUGUUUUGAAUACACGAUCAUUUUUUCAAAAUCAUGAACAUGAUUUUAUUUCCCGACCAUUUUUUCAAAAUUGUGAUUCUUUUUAAUUUCGCAAACAGUUUUGCAAAACCACCAACAUUUUUUGAAUCUGCAAUUUUUUUAUGAUUUUCUAAACAUUUUUGAAUUCACAUAUAUUUUAUGAUUUCUCAAACAUUUUAUUUGUGAAAACUCGCAACUUUUAGAAUAUUAAAAUCACGAAUUAAUUUAAAGAAGAAAGAAGAAAGAAAACAUAAUGAGAAAAGAAAAGACAAAAAGGUAAAAUAAAAAAACAAGCAAGUAAAGCCCCACAAAUGGGCCGGCCCAUGAAUGCAUACAUGGGUAGGACAUGCGUGAGAAAAGAAAGAUAAAAAGUGUGAGAGCUAGGGAUUGAACCCUAGUCUCAUUGCCAGAAGAUCUACCAGCCAACCACUCUGCCAUUCAUUUUUCUGUGUAUUCUACUCGUCGCUCCCCUAUAAAACAAUGAAGGAGGUGGCGAUUUUUGGUCCGAAAAAUUGAAUCGUUUUCUACUUAUGGGUGGCAUUGGUGGGUAAUUUUUAUCAACUUGAAGGGUACUUUUAAUGACGGACGACCAGAAGCUAUAGCCGCUUUAUUAAUACACGCACCGAACAUCCCAAAAAUAUCCAGAAAAAAAACAAAUAGAAAAACAAAUAGAAACAGAAAGGAACAAAGGAAGAGAGAGGAGGGCCGUAUCGUACAGGUAAUGGGCUUGAGAAAGUUGAGGAAUUGACACUCAAAUUUGUGAUCAGUCGAAAAACCCAGGUCAAGACAACUCACCAAAAAAAACGCAAAUCUCAAAGCAGAAAUCGAUGAGGAAAAAAAAACUAGCUGACCCAAAAUCAAUUUUCUGGCAGUUUACAUAUGGCUAAAAUGAUUUACGCCUACAAAGGCUAAAAUGAUUUAUAUUAAAUCAAAAGCAAACAGUGAAGCUAAUCAAACUAUGCUUAGUUCAAAAUUGACGGGCGUUCAGACGAGCCGCGACGCCGGCGAGCCGCAAACGUCUUUCCCGGCUCCGAAAGACAGACGGCACCCCCGGGCGACCCUCGAAGCCCUCCAUAAGCUCAACCCUCUCCACGCGCUCUCACCAGCAACGCACCAAGGCGUUGACCUCAGAGCUUUAAUUCCCCAACCCCCACCACCUCCCAUCGCAGACUCGCAGAAGCAUCCAAACAAACAAGAGAAGAAGUCGAUCGAGAGCAGCACCGGCAGCCGCGGAAGGGAGGCCAAGAGACGACCGAGCGGCGGCAGCAUGGACCGGAACAUGACGGGGCUCCUGCUCGGGUGUGUGGGCGCCGCCAUGACGGUGCUGGCGUACCAGCAGACGGUGGUGUCCAGCACGCAGUGCAUCGGCGCCGGCCUCGCCGUCCUCGUCUGCGCUCUCUGCAUCAAGGAAGGCUUCUUCUCCUUCUGAUGCCCGCCGCCCGCGUAGCGCACAGCUUUUGCCGGUUUCAGUUUCCAUAUUCCUUUGUAGCUCCUCCUGGUUGGAUCAUCUGAUCCGCAUAUGAUUGCUGCAGAUCGAAGUGGUUGUAUCUUGUAUUCUGUAAUUUCCUCCCUUUUCUUAUACAUACAUAGUAGUUUUUUGUCUGUCUUGAAGCGUGGCUGAUUGCAUCUCUUUUGUUGUUGUUGUUGUGCGCUGAUUACAUCUCUUUUACGACUAAAUUGCGGUUUCUGCCUUUCUUGGAUGCAUACAACCAGUCAAAUCCCCUAACCACCAAAGGAGAAUCAUUCGCCUAAAAUGGUUGACUUAAUGUACUCCAUUGCUUUUCGUACUACUUUUUGUACAAGAGACAGUCUAGUGUUUAACAGGAAUACCUGCAAGCAUCAGGAAAUGAAAUCCGCACAACUACAAUAACAUGGAAUGCCGAUGAAGUGCCGUCCUACAAUAGCAUGCAGUUACCUGCUUUACUAGAAACAGAAAUACUCAUCUCGAACGUAAGUACAUUUUGAGCGUAGAACUAUCCGUUCUGUACUAUCCCUGCCUCAUCUACAAACUGCCAUGACACGAGACAACACUACGUAGCUGCUGUUCAGUUCAGAUGCGCUGUUGGAAAUUUUGCAUUGCCGCACAACACCAAGCAGACGGACAGAGGGGUGCCGCCACCAUCAUCUGAAGUCGUGAAUGAUCUUCAGAACUUCAGAACUCGUGAAUGAUCUUCUGCAGAGAAGAGUAAGUCCCACUUGCGGCAACCAAGGAGCCGAGAACGAUGAUCAUGACGAUCAGCGCGACCUCGGCCCUGCUGCACCUCGCCGUGCCGAAGAUUUUGAGGUAGCAAAUGCACGGGAGCAGCAUGGAGGCCAUGACGCUGAGGAGCGAGCCGACGAGCGCCAUGAGGUGGCCGAAGAAGGGGACGGCGAGGGCCACGAUGACCGUGCUGAUGACGAUGAAGGUCCUGAUGAGCAUGUUGAGGGACCUCUUGUUGCCAGCAAGCAGCUUCUCCUCGAUCGCUGUCGCGACGGGGGUCACCAUCAGAGCGUACUUUGAGAACGGGUUGAUCAGCGCCGUGUAGAUUGCUAGCUUGGAGCUGAGCUUGCCCUCCGGGAGGUUCAGGGUCACCUGAGACUCGACGUCGUCGCCGUACAUGAGGUAGCCCAGUAUGGCCAUGGAUCCGUAGUUGAGGGUGCAUGCCACGAAGCAUAUGACCAGUACCUGUCAAUGCACUCCAACAGACAGACAUGCCAAAUCUUCAGUCAUUCAAUCUACUGUACUUUUUAGUUGAGGGAAGUGAGACAUCGUUCAGCAUAGAACACUGUUAGGUCACCGUCACAUGUUUUUUAGUAUCAGAUCUAUUGCACGUUAAAACGCCAAGAAAAAUACAAUGAUGAACAGUUUGGGAAUGUCUUGGCUGGCGUUAAAAUGAUAGGCCACUCAUUGAUUAGUGAUUACCUUGGAGAACUUGUCCUUUUCCUUCAUGGAAUUGCACAAUGUCGGGAAUAUGGCGUGGCCGCAGUAGCAGAAAGUGUAGAGUCCGAGCGCGGUGGGUAGGCCGCUGACGUUGAGCAUGGUGCCUUUCCCCUGAAAGCCGACGCCGUCAACCACCGCGGCCCAGAGCACGCAGAAGACCAGCACGACCGACGCGAGCACGCCGCUGGCCGACACGUAGGCGAGCACGCCCAGGUUCCUGAGCCACGUGGUGGGCAGGAUGACGAUGGAGACGAGCACGAUGAAGAGGUGCUUGCCGGAGAGCAGGAGCACGCCGCCGAGGCUGAGGCUGGCGCCCGGGAACAGCUUGUCGAGGUUGUCCCCCUCCAGUAUGAGGAAGCCGAUGGCGACGAGGUAGAGCUCGGCGUACAUGAAGGCCGAGACGGCGAAGCGGCCCUUGGCCCCGAAGGCGCGCGCGCCGAUGUCCGGGUAGCCGCGCACGUCCGGCGACGCGCCCAUGCACGUCUGCAGGAGCUGGCCGGUGUAGCAGCAGACGAUGGCGACGAGGAGGAGCAGCACCAGGCUGAGCCACCCGCCCUCCGCCAGCGCGUACGGGAUGGACAGCAGCCCCACGCCUGAAACCUCGACAUCGACCGGUCAGUCAGAGUGGGCCGACACUGUCAAGAAAGGGCAUGGCCGUACCGAAGAUACAGAUUGUUGCAGGCAACGGAAGAAAGAUUCGGGCUCCGGACUCACCGGAGAGGGCGUUGAGGCCAUUGAAGCAUGUGCGCAGGGACGUCGCGCCGCCGGCCGCCGGCGAGCACUGCGCCUCGUGGUCGUGCGCCGCCGCGGGGUCCUUGCCGGGCAGCAGGCCACCGUGCGCGUGGAGGAGUGGCUGCUCGAAGCCCGGUAGCCCGCCCGGCGAGUCGUGCGGCGCCGCUCCGCCAAUGGCCAUCUUACUCUUAUCCUACCUCCACCUCUAGGCGACGCCUCCUCUAACGAAGCUCUAGCAAAGACCAAAUAUUUUCACGACGGAUGGAACAGGCAGGGGGCAGGGAGCAGGGAGAGCGCAACGAGCAUGUGGCGCUGCGGCUGCGGCCUGAUCCGCGGCUGUAUAAAAGGGAACCCUACCUCGGCUUCUUCCUCCUCUCCUGCGUGCGGCGCCGACGACGGGUCACGAGUCGGGAGGCCCACACGGCUCGGGAGCUCUCUCUUGUGCGCUGCGCGCGCGGCCCAUGCGGUUUGGGAAGUCCGAGAGCAAGACUCCGCGGGAUCUGCGGCGUUAGAUCUGCCAUGUGGCAUGCUGCUCUGGUGUUCCGCAGGGACUGGAGAUUUGGAGUAGAGUUUCUUUUCACCCUUCUUUCUUUAGUAUCCCCGAAGGAUGGGCUUUGUACGAUGUCACGUCUCGUCUUAUCAAAAAAAAAGAGUUGGAUCCGAGGAAACCUUUUUCUUUUUCUUUUGAGGGUAAUCCGAGGAAACCUCAAUGGAACGGGUAACGUAGCCUUCGUUGCUCGCUCCCGACCGUUUACGUGCGCAUGCAGCUACACUAUAGUACACAUGGUCCGUUUAGUUGCUCCCGUAACUAGGAGUACUACUACUAUAUUUUAGGAAAGCCUCUUGAUUAGGUUGCAUGAGUGGGCAUGCCGUGGCUAGCGCUCACGUGCAAGCAUUAGUUUUAUCAGCCUAGUGGUUCGCACCACUGAGCUACUUCUGUGGCGCACCACGGCAUAGGGAGUAGUGCCUCGUGUGUGGCUUGAGCCCUGAUAUGCCGUCACAGCUGGCCAGGCUCGUCCAACGGCACGUUAACACGUGAUAAAUGUGUACAAAGUUCGCUGUUAUUUGCAACUAAGGAAAAUCAGAUGUUAUUAAUAACAAUGUCGUAUCACUAUAACUACGUGACCGGGGCGCGAGGUAGGGCGUGGCGAGCAAUCUUCAAAUCAUUCAAAAUAACUACUGCUACGUGGCCAGGGGUGUUACCAGCUUCCCCUGUAUUUGCCCGAUAAGCCGCCGGUCGCAAAUGUUUGCACACAAUCACACCCACAUGUUUCUUCAUAUCACCAGGAGUCCAGGACACAUUUCGUUCACACGCUGUAACUAGCAAUGUGGCCCAAGACCCGGAAUUCAUGUUGUAUACGAUCAACCAACGACAAGAACGCACCGAUGCGACAAGUGAACGACAAAUGCACCAAUGCGAUAGGUGAACGACAAAUCUCCCGUGUGCUGGGACGGAUCCGUCACCUUGCUAGCUCCAUGGUCUCAGCCUAUUACUCCAAUCAUCAUGGACAUUACCCCCCGGCUACAUGCAUGUAACCAGCAAUGUGGCACUAUUAAUAUCUCCCUGGAUCAUGAUGAGCUUUUAUUAAGGCUGUCUAUUUGACAUUUGACUGUUUUUCAAUUCGAAAACAGUCAAACUUUUUGACCAAUCAACACAUUACACCUGUAUGAGCAGAAAAAUCAACAGAAAGCAAAAAAGAACGCCUAAACAGGUCGGGGGUAAACAUCAAACCCGGGUCGGGGGUAAACAUGUUAAAUAACGGAGAACCAAUACAAAGGUAAAAAGCACUAUAUUAUAGUCAAAUUUCCUGAUAAAUCAAGUGCUGACACCUAUGUCCAAAUACCAUGGACAAUUGUAUGCUUGUAUUUCCAAAAAAGGGGUCGUGUGGCUAAAAUCUAACCCAGUUCUAACUAAUAACCGAAACAAAACAAGGCAACUAUCACCAAACCCUCCUGGACCGUUGCCCAUGCUCUUUUUUCCUUUCCUGGACAACAAAUCACCUGACAAAGAAAAGGAACAAAAAUCAUCAGAAUACUGGCGUCUCCCAGGACCCUCCUUUAACUUGCAUCACACAAGUCAUCUGGGAGGCGCCAUGGCCCAUGGGAGAGGGGAAAUGAGAAGAAAGAGUAGAAAAACAUCAGAGAGACGUCAUGGGAGAGAGGGAGUGAGAAGAAGGAAGAACAAAAACAAGUCAGAGAGGCACAUCAGAGGGGCAAGUACCUGGAGAGAAGCAAGGGGGAAGAACAGAUCUGAAUAAUUGGUGGUGGACAAAGGAAGAUCAUCCAAGAGACGGUCCACAACUCACAAAAUGUCCUACUCCUUUUGAUCACACUUCUAUUGAACUCUUCCAUGUUUUUCCUCACCCUGCUGCUCUACAUACACCUGCUACAUGAACUAGCCUGCAAAAAAACCAUCAUACAAUCUAGUGAGAAUUUUGGAAUCGUCAGGGGAAAAAUUCUAACUGUCGGAAGUUAAAACUGUUAAUAUUUCACUGUCAAACACUACACCAACACGAAUUCCAGUGUAACGUACACAUGAAAAAAAAACUUUGCUGCAGUAUAGGGCAAUGUAGGUAACAUGAACCAUGAGGAAAUUACAUGAAAAAAGUUGUGUUGUAGUACACAUGAAAAAAUCUUUGCUGCGAUACAUGGCAAUGUAGCUAACAUGAACUCAGGGGAAAUUACAGAGUUAGACAACUCAUGACAUUCAUGGAAAAAUGAGAUGAAUUCCAGUGUAAUACCUACAUGACAUACAAUGCAAACUGGGGGAAUAUUACACCGUAUUCCAGCAUUAUUUAAUACAAUUCAGAAUUACAAUGUGAUUCUGGGGGAUAUUACAAUAUAAAUUUGGGGUAUGUAUAUUACAAUGUAAUCCUGGGGAAUAUUACACUACAAAUAUAGUGGAAAUUACAGAGAAAUUAAGAGGUAUUACACUGUAAUUCAAAGAGUUAAAAUUCACCGGAAAUUCAAGCAAAAGCUGAACAGAAUAAGUACAGAGAUACAUGCAAGUUCGUAUGAAGUCAUGAAUACAGAGACAGACCUAUCAGCAUAAAGAACACAAGUCCUAUCAGAUGAAUGCAUUAAUAUUGACAAUCAAAAAUAGAGCUUGUUACAGUGCUGGUACACAUGGACAGUGAAGGAAAUGAAUAAUCACACUAGUGGAUUACAAUGAUAAUAACCAAGAGACUACACAAGGAUAAUCACACAAAGCAGAGUUAAAAUCCACUGUAAUUCAAGCAAAUCUGAACAAGAAUGAAGCCCAAAUAUCAAAUAAUACAGAGGUUCAUCGGGAAAAUUACACUACUUUGUUUAGAAGAAGAAAAAUUAGACUGAAUUUCUAGGAAAAUUUACACUGCAAUUUGGGGAAUAAUUACACUAUAAUUACAUAAAUAAAGCAUGAAGUUUACACUGUAAUUAUGGGGAAAAUUACACUGUAAUUACAUAAAUGAAGCAUGGAGUUUACACUGUAAUUCUAGGAAAAUUACACUAUAAUUCUGGGAAAAUUACAUUGUCAUUUAAAAAAAUGAAGCAUUGGGAUUACACUAAAACCUGGGCUAAAUUACACUGCAAUUCUAGGGUAUAUUACACUGCAAUUACAUAAAGGAAGCAUGGGGAUUGCAAUGAAAUUUUUGGAUACAUUACACUGUAAUACUAGGGGCAUACUACACUGUAAUUUUAGGCUAAAUUACAUUGUAAUUCUUGUGAAUAAAAAAGAUAAGUCAUUAGUUGUAACUAGAUCAGAAAGACUCACAUGAUUCACAUAGAAAUUGAAAGUAGUUUUAUCAAAACCCCUAUCAUCACUAGAAAGAUCCUAAAAAAUAAUUCAGUCAACAAACAGAAAUUUUAAUAAAUUGAAAGAAAGAAUAAAAACGAAAAUGAAAGUAGAGAACAAGACGAAAAUAACUACCAAAGACAUAGCAUUAGAACCAUCUUCCACAAAGUCAUUAGGCACAAAAGGAUCAUUCAAAGAAUCAGCCCUCUCAAUAGAAGAAACUACCAAAACAUCAUUGUGAGAGACUUCCCGUAGUCUCCCCAUUGACCUAAACCUAACAAAACAUAAUACAUGACACACGAAAGAAAAUAAAAGAAAGCUGAAAAUUAUAGGGUAAUGGGGCUCAAUUACAAGGGAAAUCUCACAACAAAUAAUACAUUGAAAGGCAGCAAUCAGGGGAAUUAUAGAGUAAUGGGGGCAUAUUAAUACAGUGGAAGAAUCACUUAAAUACAGUGUAAAACCAACCUAAAUACAGUGAAACUCUGAGUAAAAAUACACAAUAAUUAGGGCAACUUACAAUGAAAAGGUAGAGGGAGAACACUGCCAAAAACUGAAGAUAAAUUAUAUAGUAAGAAUGGGGGAUAUUACAGUGCAAAACCACAUGAAUGCAUGCAAAACAUCUGAGAAAAAAUACAAUGUAAAUAACAAAGAAACUGGCGCAGUAUUACACUGAAAAAAUAUACACUGCAAUUUACACUGAAAGAAGCAUGAUAAUUACACUGUAAUGGGGGUAAUUCUAGGGAAAAUUACACAAUAAUUACAAAAUAAAGAAGCACGAAAAAAACAAUGUAAUUAUGGUAUAUUACACUGUAAUUGCAGGCUAACCUACAGUGUGAUUCUACGACACAUGAGAAUUACAAUGUAAUGGGGGGAAAUAUUAUACAGUAAUUCUAGGACAAAUUACACAGUAAUUACAAAUAAAAAAGCACAAAAACACACGGUAAUUACGGUAUAUUGCACUGUAAUUGCAGGGUAACCUACAGUGUAAUUCUACGGACAUAUUACACAGUAAUUAUAGCAAAAUUCACACUGAAGAAAGAAGCAUCGGGAUUACACUGUAAUUAGGGGGAAAUACACAGUACUACUAGGACAAAUUCCAGAGUAACAGCAAAUAAAGAAGCAUCAGGAUACACUGUAAAUGCACUACAAUUAUGGGGUAAGUUACACUGUAAUUAUGGGUUAAAUUACACAGCAAUUCUGGAUGGGGAUACACUGUAAUUCUAGGGGUAAGUUACACUUCAAGUCUGGAGUAAAAAUACACUGUAAAGAAGCAUGCAAUUCAGAGAGAUUCCUGGACUGACACUACAACAACACUGCAGCCUAGUACACACAAAUUCAGAGAGAUUUAGGUACCGGGGGAAAUGAACACCUACAUCUAACACAAAAAAUCAUAAUGAAUUCCAGGGACUACAACAUCAAACAUCAGCAGCUAACAGCAAAUACAACUAAACUGCAUA